CAUUUUCCCAUGUGGUGCUCCAGUUGCCCACUCAGAACAUGUGAAACCCAACAUUCCAUUUACCAGAAAUGGUCUGGAAGGGCUGAAUUGCCUGUGACUAUCUGUGGAAAAGGCCUCUCAACCCAAAGCAUCGGCCCAAAACCCAGCACACAGAAAUCCCCUUGCCCUGAAGUGGGGUGUGCCAGCCACAGUUCUAAUGAACACAACCGGCAGAGUUGCCUCUCACUAUGCUCAACAGCCAGUGAGCACAGACAUUCUGCUUCCUGGACUGAGGGAGGCACAGGAGGAAGGUGUGAUACCUCUCAUGCUGAGAAGGACUCUGUAUGCCCCCUUGCUCAGAGAGCACUUGCAGAGAGCAGAGCUUGGUGCUGGGGGGCUGCUGCAUUAGCCCUCAUUUCAGGGACUGGACUGGUUCCCCAAAACAGUUCCUGCCUUGAGGUUUGCAGAACAAUAGUCCUUUCAAUUAGCGGUUAAACCAGUAUCUUUGCAAACUCUGGUUAUUUCUGGUUUUCAACGGGCAUGGAUAAUAGUUUGUUACCCUUUUUCUUAUAAGCUGCUUUUAGAGUAAGUGUUUUCAUCUUACAGAGCUCUUUUUAAUGAAAUACUUUGUUCUUACUGAAAUGAUGCCCCAGCUCAUCUGAAAGCAGUUGGAUUUCUAUUCAGUUAUUAAUAUGCCUAAGUAUUGCAAACAAAGGGAAGAUGGGUAAAGGUACUCCCAAACCAGAGAAUUGAUUGGGGUCUGCUUCCACAUUCAAUCUUCAGCUGCUGCAGCACAAAAACUAAUCUUCCCUGUGAAACUGAAACACAAGAAUCUAAUGUUGUUUAUGAGAUUGUUCUCCUCAAAAGAAAGGAAGUGAUGACCAAAGUUAAAGGAAGCACAGGUUCUGCCUCUUAUCUCAGCAGGACACAACUCAGACAUGAGGAGAAAGAAAGGAUCACUACUGAACUUUAAAGCCUAAAAAUAACUAAGCCAGAGAAAGGUCCAGAAAUCUUUUGGUCCUUAGAGAGUUCAAGCCUUGUAGUAAGAAACAGCAAAAUUACAGAGCAGUAGGUACAAAACAAACCCUGUCAAGCACAGUUGGAGCAGAGUCAGACGUAUUCCUGCUGCCAGUGCUGGGAGCAGCAGGGAGUUUCAGCCUCCCCAAGGUGGCCAUGUGUGCAGGGACAGGGACAUGAGAGGAGGUGGCUGGGAGAGGAAGAGCACUGGGUUCUCUCCUGCUUUAGGCUCUGCCUUCUCCCUUUGCACUGCGGCACUGGGCAGAAGCAAGUCCCAGGAACACGCUGGACGCUGAUGUUCGGGAGUGCCACAUACCCACGUGUCUGCAGUGGUAGCUGAUGCCUUGGCAACCAGCUGACUCUUAAAAAUAGCCUGGAGGGAAAGGGAGAGGCAGAUGCAUUCUGGCUUUCACUCUGGUCCUUCAGCUGCAGGCUCAGGAGAGGCUGUUUCAGCCUGUUUAGUGAAGAGCAGGCUACCAAGACUAGAUCCAGGGUUUUGUGCCAUAGAAGUAAGUGAAAUGAACAUAAAGUAAUCGAUGAGAUUCACAGAUGAGCCUGGGCUGAAGUAGGUUCUUUUUAUUUAAUGAAGAUGGGAAGAAGAGGAAGGUGGGCUUUAAGAUACUUGAUAACACUCUUUUCUGUUCCUGGAAGGCUCUUGUCUGUGAAAGUGCCAUUUGCCAGGAGCAGAGGUGUGAAGAAAGGCACAGAAAAGCUUUCAGGGCCAUUCACUGCAAUGCCAUAGAUCUCACAGACCAGAAGGAAACCUGUGCACAGGAGAGCCCAUAGCUAUUAACAGCUAAAGGUACCAAAGCAAAUCUGACUGGUCUGUCUUCAUGCACAUCGUUAGAGUAAUGUCUGUUUCCUGCUGUUGUCUGCUCUUCUCCAGUUUGCUGUGAUCUCCCCUUCCACCCUCGUUGCAGACUCAAAGAUAAUUGCUAAUGGUCCAAGGAGUGCUCCAUCUGGUCCCUCAGGGACACAGACCAGUUGGCCACUAAAGUAUUCUGCAAAGGAGGUAAGAAAGAAUUGCAAUUUGAUAAGAUUUGUUCUUCCAUUUGCUUGUCACUUUGAUAUAAAUGUGAUUUCUCCUGGAUAUAGAAUCUUCUAUCUUUCCCCUUUCUGCCCUGCUCUACUGCUCUAGGAAGGCUUGCAAUACUUAAUCCGUGCCUAGGUGUAGUUCCACAUCCUUUGGGAGUAUUUUGUCUCCAGGACCCUGGUCCCAAGUUCAGUGAAUAAAACCCAAGAAUUUUUGGAGAGAAAAUAUUACAUUUUGUUUUGUUUUGGGUUUUUUUUUGCAGUUAGAAGUGGUUGUAGAUACUAGCUGGAUUAUGAACUAGUUUACUAUUGAAAUUGUAGUUUGUGUUAAAGUAAGGAAAUCCCAUAUUAAUAACAUCAAGGAAAGACCUGACUACUCUGGGGGUAAACCUAAUGCAUCCCAGAAAUUCCAAUUGCUUUACUUUUGUUCUUACUAGUACUCCUAUGAACACUUGUGGUAUAUCUGCCACACCUAUGCCUGUGAGCUGUAUU